GCCUUCGUGGUGUAGUGGACAGCACGCUCGUCGCAUAUUCGAGAGAUCCGUGGUUCGAGUCCCGGCGAGGGCA
rnacentral:tRNA from 1 species